rnacentral:lncRNA from 1 species
CAAACACAAAGGGCUAAUACCCGAUUCAAACGUUAAGGCGUGCCAGCCGAUUUGACCUUGCUAUCGGCAAAGGUGAUAACUCGAAUACUUUAGUCCUGACAACAGCGAUGCGCCCGGAUGUCACGGCUAAGAGGUAUUCACGCGGAACUUGAGAACACGCCGAGCUUAAGUCGACGAAUUCCUAAGAACUCGUAACAAAAGGAAAAAAAAUAUGACGAAGUCGUCGAAAAGUAGAUGCUGGAAUAUGAGUAAAAACGUGUAUUUGAUUGAUUGAUUUAUUCUUAUUACAAGGCCCUAGGGUCUAUAUUUAUACCCUGCUCAAAGAGCUACAACCAGACACGUUUAGAGUUCGAAUUCCAAAUUACACGGAAUCCGUAUACAAAACGAUGUAAAUAAUUAAGGAAAUAACAAAACUAUCCCUCGUGACAAACCGAAACUCCUCUACAUAACGACCGGCAGCUUCCGGACUCCCUCUUUGCAUCAUCGGCACACCCUUUGUCAUAGUCAUCGGCAGACUUUCUUAUCUAGCCAUCGGCACAAUAUUACUGCCUGUGGACUUAGUCACGUUCAACUUCUCCCUCAUCGGCA